rnacentral:lncRNA from 1 species
GAAUGACACUUUUCUCCCUACACUUGACACAUGUGGCUUUUUGGGGAGGUCUUGGAAGGAAGCCAGGGCUGGAAAUCCCUUGUGAUUGCAAACAAGCUGGCAGGUGCCCCUGGGAGUUCUAAUUCAGGUUAGUUUAGGUUAAAUCAGGUUGGUCUGUGCUGAGGUCAGCCUUGCUGCUAUGGAGAUAGAGCUCUCCCUGCACAAGGUCAGGAGACCAGGCUUGGUAAACCCAGAUGCCCUCCCUUCCUAGGUGGCUGCAGGGGCAGUAGUGCUGGGCCCCAGCCCAGAAAUUGUUUGAGAUACUCCAGGCUCUGAGGAAAAUCUUGAGGAAAUCUCUGAGGAAAUUUUGAUACCAAAAAUGCUCAUCCUUUGAAGGACUUCCGUGACCUGGGAAAAAUGCCAUUUCCAUUGCCUGAGAAGCUGAAGUGCUUAAAAUAGGUAGUGCCUCUGGAGCAACAUGGGACCAAAAGUAGUUUGUGGGUUACUGCCAGACCCCGUGCCUGACGGCGUUGUGUUCCAAUGCCUUGUGGAGGUCCCUCUGUGUAAAGGCUGUGGGUGUCUCUGGCUGUGAGCUCAUUGCACAGACGUGCAAUGUGAAGUGGGAGCAUUCCUGCAGCCUCCUUUCAGACAUCCACAACAAUUUUAAUAGCUGCUUCGUUACCAGUGGUCCUGUUAUACUGAGCUCACCAGAGACAUCUUUAACAGGCAUGUGAGCUCGCAGAGGGCACCUCGAUGACAUUGCACAAAUGAGACACUACCACGUAUGAAGCAACUGCAUGACUUGUAUUUUUACUUCGGUUAAAAUGUAACCAAAACAUAAUCUCUUGUAUAUGGCUGUAUGAGAGACUAAAUCACACGCAGUAGCAUAGACAUAGUG